rnacentral:lncRNA from 1 species
GGGAUAGUUCAGAGAUCUGCUUCAGUAGGAAUAGUAGAAUUUGGUUUACAUCAAAACAUUUAUUCUCCCCUCACGGUUCCCUCCUUUAAGCAUUACAGAGGCUAUGUGCCUCACCAUUGCGUAUUGAAGUGCGUGACCCCCCCGGACCCCAAAUGCUAUUGCCACCACGAUAGAUGGAGUUAACUGCGCCCAGGGACUCUUGAGCGAAGUUCCCAAGGGCUGCACCAAGGAACUUUAAAUUUGAGUCCUAUCUGUAAGGGAGGAUUAGAAGAGAAAAGAAACAGAAGAGGUACAGCAGCGGAUUGGAGAUGAUGCAGCAGUGGAUGGGUGGUAUCCUUGAAUUGCUAUGCUGGCAGCAGCAGAUUGGAGAUGAUGCAGCACACAGGCAGG